UAGGACCCUGAUGGAAAUAAGGUUGUCAAAGAGGUGAUUUUUGGCCCAGGGGACAAAAAGUAUCGUUACUGCAAGCACAUCUCAAAGCAACAUCUCCCAAAUCUGUCAAGCGACCUCAUGAAGAAGGGAAAACAUUUCAUAUUGAUACGGAACCCUCUAGAUAUACUGCCAUCUUUUGAUAAAGUCGUUCCACCAUCCUUCAUGGAGCUUGGCAUAGGCGAACUUGUCUCAAUAUACAGUGAAUUAUGUGGACUUGGGAGCCCACCCCCUGUGAUAGAUGCAGAUGAUCUGCAACAGGAUCCUGAG